AUUGAACGCUGGCGGCAGGCCUAACACAUGCAAGUCGAGCGGAGCGGCGGACGGGGGAGUAAUGCCUAGGAAUCUGCAUGGUCGUGGGGGAUAACGUCCGGAAACGGGAGCUAAUACCGCAUACUAUCGGAUGAGCCUAGGUCGGAUUAGCUAGUUGGUGGGGUAAAGGCCUACCAAGGCGACGGUCCGUAACUGGUCUGAGAGGAUGAUCAGUCACACUGGAACUGAGACACGGUCCAGACUCCUACGGGCGGCAGCAGUGGGGAAUAUUGGACAAUGGGCGAAAGCCUGAUACAGCCAUGCCGCGUGUGUGAAGAAGGUCUUCGGGUUGUAAAGUACUUUAAGUUGGGAGGCGUUACCCACAGAAGAAGCACCGGCUAACUUCGUGCCAGCAGCCGCGGUAAUAC
rnacentral:rRNA from 1 species